rnacentral:rRNA from 1 species
UAGGGAAUCUUCCGCAAUGGGCGAAAGCCUGACGGAGCAACGCCGCGUGAGUGAUGAAGGUCUUCGGAUCGUAAAACUCUGUUAUUAGGGAAGAACAAAUGUGUAAGUAACUAUGCACGUCUUGACGGUACCUAAUCAGAAAGCCACGGCUAACUACAUGCCAGCAGCCGCGGUAAUACGUAGGUGGCAAGCGUUAUCCGGAAUUAUUGGGCGUAAAGCGCGCGUAGGCGGUUUUUUAAGUCUGAUGUGAAAGCCCACGGCUCAACCGUGGAGGGUCAUUGGAAACUGGAAAACUUGAGUGCAGAAGAGGAAAGUGGAAUUCCAUGUGGAGCGGUGAAAUGCGCAGAGAUAUGGAGGAACACCAGUGGCGAAGGCGACUUUCUGGUCUGUAACUGACGCUGAUGUGCGAAAGCGUGGGGAUCAAACAGG